AUUGAACGCUGGCGGCAGGCUUAACACAUGCAAGUCGAGCGAGCGGCGGCCGGGUGCGUAAUGUCUGGGAACCUGCCUGCUGGAGGGGGAUAACUACUGGCAACUGUCUCUAAUACCGCAUACCAUCAGAUUUUCCCAGAUGGGAUUGGCUAGUAGGUGGGGCAAUGGCUCACCUCGGCGACGAUCCCUACCUGGUCUGAGAGGAUGACCAGCCAGACUGGAACGGAGACACGGUCCAGACUCCUACGGGAGGCAGCAGUGGGGAAUAUUGCACAAUGGGCGCAAGCCUGAUGCAGCCAUGCCGCGUGUGUGAAGAAGGCCGUCGGGUUGUAAAGCACUUUCAGCGAGGAGGCGUUACUCGCAGAAGAAGCACCGGCUAACUCCGUGCCAGCAGCCGCGGUAAUAC
rnacentral:rRNA from 1 species